GAUGAACGCUGGCGGCGUGCCUAAUACAUGCAAGUCGAGCGAACAGACGAGGAGCUUGCUCCUCUGACGUUAGCGGCGGACGGGUGAGUAACACGUGGAUAACCUACCUAUAAGACUGGGAUAACUUCGGGAAACCGGAGCUAAUACCGGAUAAUAUAUUGAACCGCAUGGUUCAAUAGUGAAAGACGGUUUUGCUGUCACUUAUAGAUGGAUCCGCGCCGCAUUAGCUAGUUGGUAAGGUAACGGCUUACCAGGCAACGAUGCGUAGCCGACCUGAGAAGGGUGAUCGGCCACACUGGAACUGAGACACGGUCCAGACUCCUACGGGAGGCAGCAGUAGGGAAUCUUCCGCAAUGGGCGAAAGCCUGACGGAGCAACGCCGCGUGAGUGAUGAAGGUCUUCGGAUCGUAAAACCCUGUUAUUAGGGAAGAACAAAUGUGUAAGUAACUAUGCACGUCUUGACGGUACCUAAUCAGAAAGCCACGGCUAACUACGUG
rnacentral:rRNA from 1 species